AAAAGUGGGGUGGUGUAACGGCCGUGUCCCCAACGGUUACUAACGUUCACCUAGUCUGAAGCUGUCACGCUCGUGACAGAAGGUGUUACGGGCGUCACAGGCACUUGGUGUGACGACCGUGAUGGCGUGUUGACGCUCGUCACACAGUCAGCUUGCAGGUCACUGCUUGCGUGGGUGCUUCAUAAUUUGUUUUUAUUAUUAUAUUUUAUUUUUGUUAUUUUGUUUUGCUUAUGUUUAUUUUAUUUUGCUAUUGUUAUAUUUUAGAAAUACCAUGC
rnacentral:lncRNA from 1 species